UACGUAGGGGGCGAGCGUUGUUCGGAAUUACUGGGCGUAAAGAGUGUGUAGGCGGUGCUCUAAGUUCGGUGUGAAAUCUCCCGGCUUAACUGGGAGGGUGCGCCGGAAACUGGAGUGCUCGAGCGUGGGAGAGGAAAGCGGAAGUUCCUGGUGUAGCGGUGAAAUGCGUAGAUAUCAGGAGGAACACCUGCGGUGUAGACGGCUUUCUGGACCAUUGCUGACGCUGAGACACGAAAGCGUGGGUAGCAAACAGG
rnacentral:rRNA from 1 species